AUUGAACGCUGGCGGCAGGCUUAACACAUGCAAGUCGAGUGAGCGGCGGAAGGGUGAGUAAUGUCUGGGACACUGCCUGAUGGAGGGGGAUCACUACUGGAAACGGUAGCUAAUACCGCAUACUCUCAGGUGUCCCUAGCUGGGAUUAGCUAGUUGGUGGGGUAAUGGCUCACCUAGGCGACGAUCCCUCGCUGGUCUGAGAGGAUGACCAGCCACACUGGAACGGAGACACGGUCCAGACUCCUACGGGAGUCAGCAGUGGGGAAUAUUGCACAAUGGGCGCAAGCCUGAUGCAGCCAUGCCGCGUGUGGGAAGAAGGCCUUCGGGUUGUAAAGCACUUUCAGCGAGGAGGCGUUACUCGCAGAAGAAGCACCGGCUAACUCCGUGCCAGCAGCCGCGGUAAUAC
rnacentral:rRNA from 1 species